GACGAACCGUGCGAACGUUGUUCGGAAUCACUGGGCUUAAAGGGCGCGUAGGCGGGUCUUCAAGUCUGGGGUGAAAUCUUUCGGCUUAACCGGAAAAGUGCCUCGGAUACUGGAGACCUCGAGGGAGGCAGGGGCGGAUGGAACUUCCGGUGGAGCGGUGAAAUGCGUUGAUAUCGGAAGGAACGCCGGUGGCGAAAGCGCCUUGCUGGGUCUGCACUGACACUGAGGGACGAAAGCUAGGGGAGCGAAAGGG
rnacentral:rRNA from 1 species